GAAAUUCUGCAAAGCAGUAGCGGCUCUCCUGCAUUUCUUUGUGUUGUCAGCCUUCGGAUGGAUGUUGUGUGAGGGGAUAUUACUGUACAUCUUGCUGGUCAAAGUAUUUGAUGGUGCACAUGGCAAGCACUGGAAGAUCUUUAAUUUUAUUGGCUGGGGUAAGUAGUCUGUCUUUCUGAUCGUGGACAAUUACAGUAUAGGACUCCGCUAUGUCGAACUUAAAACCAUUUCCCGUGAAUUCGCCCAUCAUGAUCUGACUAUUUCAAUAAUUUUAUUCGGUUGUAACAAAAUGUUGGCACAGAAUAUGAAUGCGCUCUCUCAGUUUGAGAGAUGCUCAUACCAAGAUUGUUCAAUAUAUUCACUGAAUUGGCCGUUAAAGACCAAAGUAAAGAGUCUGAGAAAUAUUUUCAUUUAACUUUGAAGGCUGAAGGCUUGCGGCAUUUUCAGUUAAACAGAAACCUGUCCAUUGCAUGUCUUUAGCCUACAUUGUAAUUUUCCAGUUUAUUAAAAAAUCGCAGUUAUACAUGGCAGUAAAAUUAUUGUUUUUAACAAUUUGACACUUACUUGAUUUGUCGAAACACCGAUCUCUGGAAAGUUUUUCUUAUAUUCGUUAAUUGUAAUUGUUCGAGAUAGCGAGGUUCUACUGAUAUAUUCACCAUUUAAAAAAGUUAAGUAAGGACAUAUUCUAAUGACAGGACAGCAGAUGUUGGCCAACUUUAGAAAUGUGUACACUAUAAUAGGAGUAAGAAAAUAUUUGAAGUACAUCAUCUUCAAGUCUUCUUGCGAGCAAACACAUUUUCGAUAUCAUAUUUCCCAAAAUCCUGAUAUUUACUUAUACACCUUAUGUCGGGAUGACCUUAGUAUAUAUGGAUGAACUUGAGAUUAUAGUUCAACAACUGGACUCCGUACUAGCUAGGUUGGUUAGAGUGCUGAACCCGAAUCGCAGGGCCGCAUGUUCGAUUCCUUCUAGUGGCCAAUAUUUGCAUUUUUCUCAACUGUUUCCGGUUCGGUCUAAUAAGUAUAUAAAAUUUACACUCGAAAUUUUCUAUCUACAAAACUUAUCAACAUAUCGUUUAUUCAGGAAUUCCUCUAUUGAUUGUUGUUAUAUCAUUUGGAGCCACUCAAGGAGAAGGAUAUGGAACAGAAUCUUCAUGUUGGCUUAGUGUUGAAAAUAAAGUGAUUUGGGCGUUUGUGGGACCUGCAUUCCUUGUCAUAUUGGUAGGUGCUCUCAACUAAUUCUUUAGGCCAUGUAGUUUGUGCGCGUAUCUGUCAUCCCUGAAAGGAAAUAUCGUUUAGCAGUAACGAACUAUAUACUAAUACAUGUAUAAAAUAUAUGACAGGUUUUCUUCGUCCAUCUUUGUUUUUGAUAUUUAUUUUAUCUUCCAGGCCAACACAAUCGUGUUUGUCAUGGUGUUACGUACAAUGAUGAACUCUUACAAAAUCAAACAAAGGGACAAUAUUGGUAAAG